rnacentral:piRNA from 1 species
UACGCGGUGUUGCAUCUAUCUCCUCAGC